UCCGGUUUGUCACCGGCAGUCCCAUUAGAGUGCUCAACUGAAUGUAGCAACUAAUGGCAAGGGUUGCGCUAGUUGCGGGACUUAACCCAACAUCUCACGACACGAGCUGACGACAGCCAUGCAGCACCUGUGUUCCGGCUCCCUUUCGGGCACUCCCGCAUCUCUGCGGGAUUCCGGACAUGUCAAGGGUAGGUAAGGUUCUGCGCGUUGCGUCGAAUUAAACCACAUGCUCCACCGCUUGUGCGGGCCCCCGUCAAUUCCUUUGAGUUUCAGCCUUGCGGCCGUACUCCCCAGGCGGGGCACUUCAUGCGUUAGCUACGACGCCUCCGGGGUCAAUACCAGAAACAUCUAGCACCCAUCGUUUACGGCGUGGACUAC
rnacentral:misc_RNA from 1 species